GACAGUGUGGUGUAGUGGUUUAAGCAUUAAACUACAACUGUGGAGACCAGGGUUCAAUUCCCAGCUGGGCCA